UGAAAUGAUGCUAUUUGUGGACUUCCAAUAUAAGCUCCAGGUUUUGAGUGUUUGCGCACAAUUUUGACCCUAAUUUUGUAUUUCACUUUAGACUUUAAAACUCACAAAUGUAAGAUUUUCAAUUAGAAGAAACUGAUAUUAAUUUAAAAUCAAACUGCAUCAUUUAGCUGGUAAUGAGACAGUCCUUCCAAACAAAAGAGAAUGCAAUUAUCCAAACCGCAAAACAUGUUCGCAUUCGAAUGUUAAUUACAACAUACUGGUGUAAAUUUAAACUACACUGAUUGAAAUACACUUAUAACUAUCGAGCUUAACGAAAGUCGGUAAGAUCAAAGAGGAAAAGUACAUUUGUACGACACUACUGCUUAAUGAAACACUAUGGACGAUUGCAAAUAAAAGGCCAGGGCAUCUAUAGUCAAGUCAGACCAAAACUGGGAGAGAAGAAGGGGAAGCAGUUAUUUUUCGAGAGAGGAAAAAAUGGCCAAGAAUUUUACGACAGUCCUUUUCGUAUCGAUGAUGGCAAUGAUGAUAUUGAUUCAAAUUGAAUGUUUCAGCGUUGGAGGGGGAGGAAACAUGCACUCCGCAGGCAAGAAAAGAGAAAAAAUGUAAGUUGUACAACUGUGUACAAAGUUUUCUUACCGAAUUAUAUAGAUCUCAGUGCAUUUGAUAUAGUAUAUUCAGUUUCUCAGUCAUUGGUGAGCGGAUUUCCCAACAGGCGGCUAUUGUCCAAUUGAUAGGGGGAUCCGAAGUACCUACAUACUAUUCAACGUGUCAAUUUAAAGGCAGCACUUUCUUCUCGGUUAUUUUAAGACCUUGAGUAAGGAUCCGACCAAGGAUUUAACCCGGAUCUCCCAGUUUGAAAGGCAAGCGUGGUGGUCACAACACCACCAGUGCUGGUAUAGCUUUUGUGCUUUUGACUUCUGAG